GCNCCCUCCGCGCCCACUCAGACUCCUACGAGAGGCAGCAGUCGGGGAAUCUUGCGCAAUGGGCGAAAGCCUGACGCAGCAACGCCGCGUGUGUGAUGAAGGUCUUAGGGUUGUAAAGCUCUUUCAGUAGGGAAGAUAAUGACGGUACCUACAGAAGAAGCUCCGGCUAACUUCGUGCCAGCAGCCGCGGUAAUUC
rnacentral:rRNA from 1 species